CUAGUCAUCCAAAGAGAGUAGCCGAGCCUAAGUUCGGCGUCAUGGCCUCUCCCGCCAUUAACGUUUUCUCCAUAAUUUCUCCCCAACAUCUCUGGCCGCCAUUAUCUUAUCCUUUCCCCUCCUCUCUAUGUCCUCGUUGUUUUUCACCUCCGAUUCAGGCCCCGAGGUUUUGUCGCCUUAAACCUCUCCCCAUCUUCUCUCCCUUUCCAGUUCCAUUUCGACCUUCCGUCCGCUCUCCGAGGUCCAUUUUCUCUGAAAAACCCCAACUCUCCGAUGUCGACGAGGAUGAGGAUGAGGAUGAAGAUGAAGAUGAAGAUGAAGAUGACGACGACGACGUGGCAGCCGAGGAGUACGAUAUCGAUGCGUUUGGAGAAUUGGAGCAGAGGUACGAUGAAGUGGAAUUGUCGAUGGAAGCUACUGAAAUCUCCAUUGCACCCGAGGAGUUCAAAUCGCAUAGAGUCGAAAAGCUUCUCGGUGAAGUUAGAGAGUUUGGAGAAGGAAUUGUCGACGUUGAUGAACUCGCUUCAGUUUAUAAUUUCCGUAUCGACAAGUUUCAGCGACAAGCCAUAGAAGCAUUCUUGAGAGGAUCGUCGGUGGUGGUAUCGGCGCCUACCAGCAGUGGCAAGACUUUGAUUGCGGAGGCGGCGGCUGUUGCUACUGUAGCCAGGAAGAGACGAUUGUUUUACACGACUCCACUGAAAGCAUUGUCGAAUCAGAAGUUUCGGGAGUUCCGUGAGACGUUUGGAGACAGCAACGUUGGGCUUCUUACGGGAGAUUCUGCAGUUAAUAAAGAUGCCCUGGUUUUGAUUAUGACUACAGAAAUUUUGCGCAACAUGUUGUAUCAGAGUGUUGGAAUGGCCUCAUCUGAAAGUGGACUUUUUCACGUUGAUGUAAUUGUUUUGGAUGAAGUUCAUUACCUUAGUGAUAUCUCUCGGGGCACAGUGUGGGAAGAGAUUGUUAUUUAUUGCCCAAAAGAAGUGCAGCUUAUUUGUCUCUCUGCAACGGUUGCAAAUCCAGAUGAGCUGGCUGGCUGGAUUGGUCAGAUUCAUGGGAAAACUGAGUUAGUAACAUCAACAAAGCGUCCAGUACCAUUGACUUGGCAUUUCUCUACAAAGGCCUCUUUACUUCCUCUCCUUGACGAGAAAGGAACGCACAUGAAUAGGAAGCUGUCGCUCAAUUAUCUUCAGCUUCAUGCUUCAGGAGCUAAAUUGUACAAGGAUGAUGGAUCAAGAAGAAGAAACCCAAAAAGGCAUGGGAAUGAGAUCAGCAAUGACCGCACUAGCAGCCUGUCUAGACAAGCUACACUUUCAAAGAAUGACAUAAACUCAAUCCGCCGUUCAAAUGUUCCUCAGGUCGUUGAUACAUUGUGGCAACUCAAGUCAAAAGAUAUGCUGCCUGCAGUUUGGUUUAUAUUUAGCAGGAAAGGAUGUGAUGCAGCUGUUCAGUACAUUGAAGGCAAAAACCUGUUAGAUGAUUGUGAGAGCAGUGAAGUUGAACUUGCAUUAAGAAAAUUUCGUAUUCAAUUUCCAGAUGCUGUCCGGGAAUCGGCUGUGAAAGGACUUCUGCAAGGAGUUGCUGCACAUCAUGCUGGUUGUCUGCCUCUGUGGAAGUCAUUCAUUGAAGAGCUGUUUCAGAGGGGACUAGUGAAGGUUGUCUUCGCAACAGAAACAUUAGCUGCUGGAAUCAACAUGCCAGCUAGGACAGCAGUCAUUGCAUCCCUGAGCAAACGAAGCAAUAGUGGUCGUACCCAGUUAACCUCAAAUGAACUGCUUCAAAUGGCAGGGCGAGCUGGACGUCGAGGUAUUGAUAAAAAAGGUCAUGUGGUGCUUCUUCAAACUCCAUAUGAAGGUGCUGAAGAGUGCUGCAAGCUCCUGUUUGCUGGCAUCGAACCACUUGUUUCUCAGUUUACAGCUUCAUAUGGAAUGGUAUUGAAUCUUCUCGCAGGUGCAAAGGUUACUCAUACAAGUGAAAUGGAUGGGACAAAAGCUUUCCAAGCUGGGCGAACGCUGGAAGAAGCUAGGAAGUUGGUUGAGCAGAGUUUUGGAAACUAUGUUGGGAGCAAUGUCAUGAUUGCAGCAAAGGAGGAGCUUGUUAAAAUAGAAAAAGAGAUUGAAGUGCUCAAUUUAGAAAUAACUGAUGAAGCAAUUGAGAAAAAAUGCAGGAGGCUCUUGUCAGAUGUGGCAUAUAACGAGUUAGUAGAGCUGCAGGAGGAACUGCGAUCAGAUAAACGUCAAAGGACGGAACUACGAAAAGAGAUGGAAUUGCAAAGAAUUUUUGCCCUCAAGUCUCUGUUACAAAAUUUAGGAGAUGGACAGUUGCCCUUUUUAUGUUUGCAAUACAAAGAUUCUGAAGGAGUCCAACAUUCAAUUCCUGCAGUUCUCUUUGGAAACAUGGACUCAUCAAAGCUCAUUAACAUGUUUCCUGCUGAUAAUUCUUUGAGUGGUGCAGAACCAAAUCUUGGUAAAAAUCUGGACCCAGGUGCUGAAUCAUCUUAUUAUGUGGCUCUAGGUUCAGAUAAUUCUUGGUACCUAUUUACUGAGAAAUGGAUCAAAACUGUUUAUAAAACUGGCUUUCCUAAUGUUGCUUUAACUAAAGGGGAUCCUUUACCUCGGGAGAUUAUGAGGACACUUCUCGAUAAAGAGGGAAUGAAGUGGGAGAAGCUUGCUGAUUCUGAGCUUGGCAGUUUAUCAUGUAUGGAAGGAUCUCUGGAAACAUGGUCAUGGAGUUUAAAUGUGCCUGUUCUGAAUAGUCUUUCUGAAAAUGACGAACUCUUGCAAAUGUCUGAAUCAUACAUGGAAUCUUUAACAAGGUACAAGGAGCAAAGAAAUAAAGUUUCACGAUUUAAGAAAAGGAUAUCUAGAACAGAAGGAUUCAGAGAGUACAAGAAGAUUUUAGAUAUGGCCAAUAUUAUAGAGGACAAGAUUAGACAAUUGAAGGCUAGAUAUAAACGGCUAAGUAAUCGAAUUCAGCAAAUCGAACCAUCAGGCUGGAAAGAGUUUUUGCAGAUCAGCAAUGUCAUACACGAAAUUAGAGCACUGGAUAUAAAUUCUCAUGUAAUGUUCCCACUCGGAGAAACUGCAGCUGCUAUCCGUGGUGAAAAUGAGCUCUGGAUUGCCGUGGUUCUAAGAAAUAAGUUCUUAGUACAACUAAAACCUACAGAGCUUGCUGGUGUCUGUGCAAGUUUAGUUUCUGAAGGCAUCAAAAUCCGCCCCGGAAGAGAUAACAAUUACAUAUUUGAGCCAUCAAGAACUGUAAUUAAUAUGGUUAAUUUCUUAGAAGAGCAGAGAAAUUCUCUGUUAGAUCUUCAAGAAAAGCAUGGAGUGGACAUACCAUGUUCCUUGGACAGCCAAUUUUCAGGAAUGGUUGAGGCUUGGGCCUCUGGUUUGACUUGGAGAGAAAUAAUGAUGGAUUGUGCGAUGGAUGAGGGAGAUCUGGCACGCCUCUUGCGACGAACAAUCGACUUGUUGGCUCAAAUUCCGAAGUUGCCUGAUAUUGAUCCAUCUUUGCAAAGAAAUGCAUCAACUGCUUCUGAUGUCAUGAAUCGUUCACCAAUAAGCGAAUUGGCUGGAUAAGCUCGUCUGAAAAUGGUGUCCCUCUGGUUUGCUUCCAAAAAAACGUUGCCCUUUUUAGAUGAAUAUGUUAAUUAUUCUUCAUGCUGCAUUUUUCACAAGGCAAUUAACAGUGGCGGGGCAUGUUCUUACAAGGCCGUUUAGCUGUUAGCUCAAGUGAACAUAACACGUCCUCUAAGAAGCCUGCUUCAAGGUAUGAAUGCGACAUCAAUCUCCUUUGUUCCAAAAAGGUGGUACCCGGAGGUGUUGGUGACAUACAAUCAAUUUCUUGCUUUAUUGUGUUUUAGAAGAACAUUCUUGGGUUGUGUGCUUGGCGAACCAAAAGAUUUAGGUAUGGGGUUUGUUUGCAAUAAACCUAUCCUAAAAACACAUGAAGAUAUUGCAAUAAACAAGGGAAAGUGAGGAUUGGUCAAAA